GAUGAACGCUGGCGGUAUGCUUAACACAUGCAAGUCGAACGGACUCUUCGGAGUUAGUGGCGGACGGGUGAGUAACGCGUGAGAAUCUGGCUUUGGGUUCGGGACAACCACUGGAAACGGUGGCUAAUACCGGAUGUGCCGAGAGGUAAAAGAGAAAUUGCCUGAAGAUGAGCUCGCGUCUGAUUAGCUAGUUGGUGAGGUAAAGGCUCAUCAAGGCAGCGAUCAGUAGCUGGUCUGAGAGGAUGACCAGCCACACUGGGACUGAGACACGGCCCAGACUCCUACGGGAGGCAGCAGUGGGGAAUUUUCCGCAAUAGGCGAAAGCCUGACGGAGCAAUACCGCGUGAGGGAAGAAGGCUCUUGGGUUGUAAACCUCUUUUCUUAGGGAAGAACAAAAUGACGGUACCUAAGGAAUCAGCAUCGGCUAACUCCGUG
rnacentral:rRNA from 1 species